CACGUAGGGCGCAAGCGUUGUCCGGAAUUAUUGGGCGUAAAGAGCUCGUAGGCGGCUUGGUAAGUCAGGUGUGAAAUCUCCACGCUCAACGUGGAGGGGCCACCUGAUACUGCCAUGGCUUGAGUCCGGUAGGGGAGUGUGGAAUUCCCGGUGUAGCGGUGAAAUGCGCAGAUAUCGGGAGGAACACCCGUAGCGAAGGCGGCACUCUGGGCCGGUACUGACGCUGAGGAGCGAAAGCGUGGGGAGCAAACAGG
rnacentral:rRNA from 1 species